AAAAAGAUAUUUUUGCACAAUUGUCACGAAAGUACCAAGUAUCAGAUCUGGUCCCAGAAAUGAGUGCUUGUCCUAGUUGAAUUAUCAUUAUCAUUAAGCACCAAGAAAAUAGAGUACAUGAACAACUUGAGCUCAUCUAAUUUCUUUUGGUCUUUCCCAACUAAGCCCAUUAAAAACAAAAAAGGCAACUACUAUUUAUUAAGGGAUAGGCUAAUAGAUGUCAUAUGCUAUUUCUUCCGACACUAAAUUCUGGUGCCUUUUUCUUCAUAUCAUCUGCCAAUAUAUGUCUAAUCAUCAUCUUCCUCCUGUCAAAUAAACAAGCAAGCACUGGAUUAAAAUAAUUAUUAUAGUAAGAGUAUUUAACGUGUAUCUGUCAAAAUAAAAAUUUCUAUCGACAAUAUAGCAAAAUAUUAACACAUACCUCUUCGUCAUCGUCCUCAUCGUUAACCUCAGACCUUGACCUGUUAGAUUCCUCCUCUUCAUUUGAAACACCAGCCUAUAAAAUUACCAAAUUUUAAAAUUAGAUCAAAAUAACAGUAUAAACAAUGCAGCAGAGAGCAUAAAUUUUACUUGUUUGUUGUUAUAAGCCUCAUGCUCUUUUAGUACUCAACCUUCCUUUUCUCUGCUUUUGCUUGAUAAGGAGCUUUCUCCUAUUUAAGAUUAUUACAAAAAUUAGCAACUCUGAAUCGCAAAAUCACAUAAAAAUUUUAGCCAAUAUAAUUCUCUUUUUUGUGCUACUAAUAAAUCAAAAUAAAAAUUGAUUACUUACGGCAGCUUUACCAACCUAAAAAUUAAAAUGCGAAAAUAUACAAUUCAAAAAUCACUGAAA
rnacentral:lncRNA from 1 species